rnacentral:rRNA from 1 species
UGCAUGGGGAGUGUCUGGAAAGAUUUAUCGGUCUGGGAUGGACUCGCGGCCUAUCAGCUUGUUGGUGGGGUAAUGGCCUACCAAGGCGACGACGGGUAGCCGGCCUGAGAGGGCGACCGGCCACACUGGGACUGAGACACGGCCCAGACUCCUACGGGAGGCAGCAGUGGGGAAUAUUGCACAAUGGGCGCAAGCCUGAUGCAGCGACGCCGCGUGAGGGAUGAAGGCCUUCGGGUUGUAAACCUCUUUCAGCAGGGAAGAAGCGCAAGUGACGGUACCUGCAGAAGAAGCGCCGGCUAACUACGUGCCAGCAGCCGCGGUAAUACGUAGGGCGCAAGCGUUGUCCGGAAUUAUUGGGCGUAAAGAGCUCGUAGGCGGUUUGUCGCGUCUGGUGUGAAAACUCAAGGCUCAACCUUGAGCUUGCAUCGGGUACGGGCAGACUAGAGUGCGGUAGGGGUGACUGGAAUUCCUGGUGUAGCGGUGGAAUGCGCAGAUAUCAGGAGGAACACCGAUGGCGAAGGCAGGUCACUGGGCCGCAACUGACGCUGAGGAGCGAAAGCAUGGGGAGCGAACAGGAUUAGAUACCCUGGUAGUCCAUGCCGUAAACGUUGGGCACUAGGUGUGGGGCUCAUUCCACGAGUUCCGUGCCGCAGCAAACGC